UUAAGUUCAGCGGGUAUUCCUACCUGAUCCGAGGUCAACCUUGUAAAUAUGGGGUUUAGUGGCUAGAAGCCUCCCAGACAUCCGAGGCGUCGCAUCUCUACUGCGCCCGGAGUCUCGGAGAGUCCGCCAAUAUCAUUGAGAGCCUACGGCGGGACCGUAGAGCUCCAACACCAAGCAGGGCUUGAGGGUUGAAAUGACGC
rnacentral:misc_RNA from 1 species